AGCCAUGCAUGUCUAAGUAUAAGCAAUUAUACCGCGAAACUGCGAAUGGCUCAUUAUAUAAGUUAUCGUUUAUUUGAUAGUACCUUACUACUUGGAUAACCGUGGUAAUUCUAGAGCUAAUACAUGCUAAAAAUCCCGACUUCGGAAGGGAUGUAUUUAUUAGAUUAAAAACCAAUGCCCUUCGGGGCUCACUGGUGAUUCAUGAUAACUCCUCGAAUCGCAUGGCCUUGUGCCGGCGAUGGUUCAUUCAAAUUUCUUCCCUAUCAACUUUCGAUGUUUGGGUAUUGGCCAAACAUGGUUGCAACGGGUAACGGAGGGUUAGGGCUCGACCCCGGAGAAGGAGCCUGAGAAACGGCUACUACAUCCAAGGAAGGCAGCAGGCGCGCAAAUUACCCAAUCCCGACACGGGGAGGUAGUGACAAUAAAUACUGAUACAGGGCUCUUUUGGGUCUUGUAAUUGGAAUGAGUACAAUUUAAAUCCCUUAACGAGGAACAAUUGGAGGGCAAGUCUGGUGCCAGCAGCCGCGGUAAUUCCAGCUCCAAUAGCGUAUAUUAAAGUUGUUGUGGUUAAAAAGCUCGUAGUUGAACCUUGGGCCUGGCUGGCCGGUCCGCCUCACCGCGUGUACUGGUCCGGCCGGGCCUUUCCCUCUGUGGAACCCCAUGCCCUUCACUGGGUGUGGCGGGGAAACAGGACUUUUACUGUGAAAAAAUUAGAGUGCUCCAGGCAGGCCUAUGCUCGAAUACAUUAGCAUGGAAUAAUAGAAUAGGACGUGUGGUUCUAUUUUGUUGGUUUCUAGGACCGCCGUAAUGAUUAAUAG
rnacentral:rRNA from 1 species